rnacentral:rRNA from 1 species
ACGGGGGGUGCAAGCGUUGUUCGGAAUUAUUGGGCGUAAAGAGCGUGUAGGCGGACUGAUGUGUCAGAUGUGAAAGCCCUGGGCUUAACUCAGGAAGUGCAUUUGAAACUGUCAGGCUUGAGUAGUGGAGAGGGAAGUGGAAUUUCUGGUGUAGAGGUGAAAUGCGUAGAUAUCAGGAGGAACACCGAUGGCGAAGGCAGCUUCCUGGCCCUAUACUGACGCUGAGGCGCGAGAGCGUGGGUAGCAAACAG